rnacentral:rRNA from 1 species
GGUCUGGCUGCUCGGUCCGCCUAACCGCGUGCACUGAUGCGGCCGGACCUUUCCUUCUGGCUAACCUCAUGCCCUUUACUGGGUGUGCUGGAGAACCAGGACUUUUACUUUGAAAAAAUUAGAGUGUUUAAAGCAGGCAUACGCUUGAAUACAUUAGCAUGGAAUAAUAGAAUAGGACUU